rnacentral:rRNA from 1 species
GACGAACGCUGGCGGCGUGCUUAACACAUGCAAGUCGAACGGAAAGGCUCCAGCUUGCUGGAGUACUCGAGUGGCGAACGGGUGAGUAACACGUGGGUAAUCUGCCCUGCACUCUGGGAUAAGCCUGGGAAACUGGGUCUAAUACUGGAUAUGACCUUUCUCCUUAUGGGGUUUGGUGGAAAGUUUUUCGGUGUAGGAUGAGCCCGCGGCCUAUCAGCUUGUUGGUGGGGUGAUGGCCUACCAAGGCGACGACGGGUAGCCGGCCUGAGAGGGUGAUCGGCCACAUUGGGAUUGAGAUACGGCCCAGACUCCUACGGGAGGCAGCAGUGGGGAAUAUUGCACAAUGGGCGGAAGCCUGAUGCAGCGACGCCGCGUGAGGGAUGACGGCCUUCGGGUUGUAAACCUCUUUCAGCAGGGACGAAGCGUAAGUGACGGUACCUGCAGAAGAAGCACCGGCUAACUACGUG